rnacentral:rRNA from 1 species
GCUCAGGAUGAACGCUAGCGGCAGGCCUAACACAUGCAAGUCGAGGGGUAGUAUAGCAAUAUAUGAGACCGGCGCACGGGUGCGUAACGCGUAUGCAACCUACCUUUUACAGGGGAAUAGCCCAGAGAAAUUUGGAUUAAUGCCCCAUGGUGUUAUUGAGUGGCAUCACUUAAUUACUAAAGUUCCAACGGUAAAAGAUGGGCAUGCGUCCUAUUAGCUAGAUGGUAAGGUAACGGCUUACCAUGGCUACGAUAGGUAGGGGUCCUGAGAGGGAGAUCCCCCACACUGGUACUGAGACACGGACCAGACUCCUACGGGAGGCAGCAGUGAGGAAUAUUGGACAAUGGGCGCAAGCCUGAUCCAGCCAUGCCGCGUGCAGGAAGACGCAUCUAUGGUGUGUAAACUGCUUUUGUACGGGAAGAAACACUCCUACGUGUAGGAGCUUGACGGUACCGUAAGAAUAAGGAUCGGCUAACUCCGUGCCAGCAGCCGCGGUAAUACGGAGGAUCCAAGCGUUAUCCGGAAUCAUUGGGUUUAAAGGGUCCGUAGGCGGUUUGAUAAGUCAGUGGUGAAAGCCCAUCGCUCAACGAUGGAACGGCCAUUGAUACUGUCAGACUUGAAUUAUUGUGAAGUAACUAGAAUAUGUAGUGUAGCGGUGAAAUGCUUAGAUAUUACAUGGAAUACCAAUUGCGAAGGCAGGUUACUAACAAUAUAUUGACGCUGAUGGACGAAAGCGUGGGGAGCGAACAGGAUUAGAUACCCUGGUAGUCCACGCCGUAAACGAUGGAUACUAGCUGUUCGGAGCAAUCUGAGUGGCUAAGCGAAAGUGAUAAGUAUCCCACCUGGGGAGUACGUUCGC